CUUUUUCUUCUUCUUCUUCUUCAAUCUCUCCGCUUUUGAUUUCAGGAUUCUGUUUGAUUGCGUUUUCUAUUUCUUCUUUCCUUUUGAGGCCUUCUUCAGAUUUUUGUUGCUGUUGGUGACCCGAUGAGCUUAUGAAUCGACUUAUCGAGUUGCAAACGGAACGACUCACUGGCAUGGAUCUGGUGUAGGGCAUUGCUAAUUUGGGGUUGGAGGGAUUUAAGAAGAAUGUUGAAAAUAGACGGCCAAGAUUGCUUCUGGCCAUGGUUUCUCUUGGAUCUGCAAAAAAAAACCAGAGGAAAACCCUAUUACGACCACACAACACUCGAGUUAAUAGGAAAAAGCGGACCGCCUAGGAAGUAGGCGACGUUUGUCAAAUGACUUGCCACGAUGUCGUUUCGGCUGGAAACUGCGACUUGCCAAAAAUGUGUUGCUAAGCAUAAAUGCUGGAAUUGGGCCACAGCUGAAAAUGUGGGCUUGACCGCUUGAGUUAGGCUAAAAAAGUUAUCUCCAAACCCA
rnacentral:misc_RNA from 1 species